GGAACUGAUUCAAUAACAUUAUGACAACAUUUAGUGUUUAGGGUGCUUCAACCACACAAUUCUAACAACCAGGCUUGUAUUGUAUGCCUCAUUAUUAAGUCAGAGAAAAAAAAAAGUAAGAAAAAUGUGAAGUUGAUUUAUGGUGAAGCAUGGAAUGAGGAAGAUGUCCCCAUUACUGUAUUCAAGGAGGUUGAUGAGUGGAGGUACAGACGACAGACCGUGCUAUUGAUAUUGAAUUCUGAAUUGAAUUAUUGGAGCCAAUUUUUUCCUAUCAAUAUUCCGUUUUUGGCCUCUUCAGCUUCAGAUCCUGACUGGUCUUGUGACUCUUGUCCUCCUAUGGGAUAAACGGUCGGUGGGAGGUAAUGGUGUAAACCGGCGCAUGCUAGUAAAAGCAUACUUAUCUUUGCCACCAUGCGCUGUGAGUUAAAUUGUUUGUGUAAUGUGGGAGUGGGGGCAGGCAGUGUCAGGUGCGUAAAUUCAAUUCAACGUGGGAAUAGUUGAGAGGAAGUGCUCUGUAGGACUAGGACAUAUCGUAUAUGCAUUUAUUUGCUGUAUAGGUAUGAGACCUUGACCUCGCUUCUUAGCCUUCCAGUUUUGGGAACUGCUGCUCAACCCAACAACAUAAAUGGUGGCAAG
rnacentral:lncRNA from 1 species